rnacentral:rRNA from 1 species
CCUACGGGUGGCAGCAGUGAGGAAUAUUGGUCAAUGGGCGGAAGCCUGAACCAGCCAAGUCGCGUGAGGGAAUAAGGCCCUACGGGUCGUAAACCUCUUUUGCCGGGGAGCAAGGGCGGGGACGUGUCCCGGCCCGGAGAGUACCCGGAGAAAAAGCAUCGGCUAACUCCGUGCCAGCAGCCGCGGUAAUACGGAGGAUGCGAGCGUUAUCCGGAUUUAUUGGGUUUAAAGGGUGCGUAGGCGGGCUUUUGAGUCAGCGGUAAAAAUUCGGGGCUCAACCCCUUCCCGACGGUGAAACUGGCGCUCUUGAGUGGAAGAGAAGGAUGCGGAAUGCGUGGUGUAGCGGUGAAAUGCAUAGAUAUCACGCAGAACCCCGAUUGCGAAGGCAGGAUGCCGGCUUCCGACUGACGCUGAAGCACGAAAGCGUGGGGAUCGAACAGGAUUAGAUACCCUAGUAGUC